AAGUGAUUUUAUUUUAAUUUUAUUUAUUAUUAUUUUAAUUUUUAUUUUUAUCAAUUUUUCAUUUUAAUUUAUAUAUUCUUUUUAGUUUUAUUUUUUAAAAAAAAAAAAUUAAAAAGAAAAGAAAAGAAAAGAAUUGAUUCCAUGAGAGAUCACUCCCAUCCUUUGGCACAGACUAACAAAAGAAGGGCUCACGUGGAUCAAUCCCCAAUCAUGGGGAUCAAACCCUUUCCACUUUCUCACAUUACACAGUGAAGAGAAAAUGUUUUUUUUUUUUUUUUUUUUUUUUUUUUGACAUAAAAUUAAGGAUCCCUCACUUAAGGAUGACCGAGCCCUUAGCUUGCCCUACCCUCCAUGCCCAAACAAAAUUUUCUUUCUUUCCCCAAGAAUCUCUUCAACCUCAAAUACAUCAAUCUUUUUUUUUUUUUUUUUCCUCCGAAUUUCCUCAUCGGUCCAAUUCCUUCAUUCGUCACAAAAUUUUCUUCCUUUCCCCAAGAAUCUCUUCAACCCCAAAUACAUCAAUCUUUUAUUUUUUUUUUUUUUCCUCCGAAUUUCCUCAUCGGUCCAAUUCCUUCAUUCGUCAUCACCAAUUCUUCUCCUUCCCUGCGAAAACCUUACCCACCUCCAAUCUAAAUUUCUUGGUUCGCUCUCACUGUUCGCUCUUCUCUUCCGCGGCAUCGAAGGUAUUCAAUUCCGGCGCCAUGGCUCUCGGCCUUUGCUUUACUUCGCCGGUUUGAGACUCGGUUCUUUCUUCUUCUCUUCCGGCAGCUUUGCUUUCCUUUGUAAAACGUUGUUGGGUGCGAUUACAAGGGUGGGGUUGCCGUUCCUGAAAAACAGUAGCACCGACGGCUGGAUUUCAACGGCGUCGCGGUUGGGUCAUUCAACGACGUCGGAUCUGGGUUUUCUCCAACGAUCGCAGCUGGGUUUUCUUCGGAUCGCGGCUGUUCGCUAUUCCUUCCGACGUUAAGAUUGGUUUAGUCUUUCCAGCGCCGGCUGAGUUCCUUUCCGGCGAUUUUGACUGUGUUUCUCCAGCGAUUCCGGCGAGUGUGUGAAUCACUGUUUCUUUCCGGCGGUUUUAACUGGGUUUCUCCGGCGUUUUUGACUGGGCUUUCUCCGGCGAGUUUGUGGGUCAAAAUAAAAAAAAAAAACAGCAGCAACGAUUUCUGGGUUCUUCUCCAGUGAUUCGCGGCUGGUUUUUCUUCGGCGUCGCGGCUGGGUUUUAUCUUUCUGGCGGGAUCGUGAUUAACCCUUUAUUUUUCCGGCUCGUUCUUCUCUAAUUCCGGCUGGGUUCUUCCGGCGAGCUUGUGAAUCGCUGGUUUCUUCUCCGAUUCCGACUGGGUUUUCCUCAGGCCACGAUUUGAGACUCGGCCUUGCUUCGUUUAAACAGCAUGCGCCCUUUGCUUCGCCCUUUAUUUUUCCGAUGUCACGGGUAAUGAAAAAGGAAACCGAUCAUGCUGCGCCGACGGUUAGCUGCGUUAAAUUCCGGCCAUGGUUCUGAGUUUUUCUCCACCGACGGUUUGAGGAUUUAUUCUUUUGGUAGCAAAUCCACGACCUAAUAGUUUUUAAAAAAAAAAAAACAAUGAGAAUCAUUCCACUCAAAAGAGAACAGAAAGUAAGAACAAAAUGACACUUUAUAUUCCAUUUGAAUAAUCCACUUCUCCAUUAUUGUGUCAUCCCGGGAAAAAUGAUUGCAAGUUUGACAGAGUGAAAGAAAAGAAAAGAAUUCUUCCAUAUAUAUAUAUAUAUAUAUAUAUAUAUAUAUAUUACAAAAUUUUUAUCCGUUUAACAAAAAAAAAUAACAAGAAUAAGUUAUUGCAAAAAGUUUGGUUGAACUGGGUUGUUCAUAAUUUGGUUUAAUUUGUGAGGAUUUAUUUUGGAUUUAAAUUGCUAAUUCUAAAAGUCUAAAUUGAUGAUAAAAAAUAAAAAAUAAAAAUUCCCAGUAACAUUCCGUCUUACUAGUCGUUAAUCUUAAUUUAUUUUUUUUUAUUUUUUUUAUUUUAUAUGUUGUAUAUAUAUGUUCUUUUUUCUUUUUUUCUUUUAAAAAUAAAAAUAAAAAAUAAAAAAAAAUUCACAAAAAUUUAAAAAUAUGUGUUACCGGUAUACCCUUAUGAUUGGAUAUACAUGUUUUAAUAUUUUAUAAAGGGUUUCAUUUCUUAUCUCUUUGCAACAUGUUAUAUAUUGCUUUGGACUGUAUGCAUUACUUAUCCCAUGUGAUAUUUGAUGUGAGUUUGCUAGAAUGGUUAUACAGACAGGUUUUUGCAUCCAAGUUUAGGGGAGACGUCUUUCCUACUGGAUCAUUGCCGGAUUUCAUAGUCUUUGCCAUCACGGUUAAUAAGGUUUAAACGGACUAAUUUAGGUCCACUAAAGUCUUUUUGGAGUCAAAUAAAGACAUUCAGAAAAAGUUCAGAAAAUGGCGAAAAGAGGUCGCAGCCUAUUGCUCGUAUAGUAUGCUUAUUCUUUAAAAGGCGGUCAAUUCUAUCUUUCUCGGGCCUUUGAUUAUGUUCCCAAAGGUGAAGAAGCAAAUCAAUUAUCCCGGAGCCAAAAUGGAGCUAAAUAAGGUGUAAAAUGAAAUUCCAACUCUGGGGGAUCGAUUCUCCAGAGUGGGGGAUCGAUCCCCCACUAUUCACAGAACUAAAAAUGCCCUUGGGGGAUCGAUCGCCAAGGCUGGGGGAUCGAUCCCCCAGCCCCUGGCAGCAUUACGGGAUUUUUUCUUUUGGGCUUAUAUUUUUUUGUAACUUAUGGGCUUUAAUAGAGUUUAUUAUUUAAGGGAAACAAGCUCAUUAUUUUUAGGGUUAGUUUUUCAUUAGUUUUAGUGAAUAUUAUUAUUUGGAUAAUUAAGUUUUAUUUUUUAGUCUGUAUCGUUAUAUCGAUAUUCUUUCUGGAAAACACGCGAAAGAGGAGAAACGAAGAACGGGCUAGGGUUUGGAAGAAAAGCUCAGAGAAGAUGAAGCAAAUGAUGGGGAUUCUCCUGUCUUCGACUCCAUCAAUCAUGAGUGGCUGAUUCUUCUACUUAGGGUUGGAUAAACCCUAAGCAUGUAACCUAAACUUUCUCUCUUUUCACUUUUUGGGAAUUAUUUGUGUAAUUUUUAUAUAACCUUGAAAUAUAAAUUAAUUCUUUCAUUUGA